CCACACAAAAGCUCCUUGAUCCGUCGCUCGGCAGUUUAUUCAUUUUUGUUAAAUUUAUUUAUUAUAAAGAAGCACAACUUUGGAGCACUUCAAACCAAAUUACACUUAUGCAUGCAUGCACCAUACACUAAUAUUAUUCUGCUACUACGUCGCUCAUACUAAAGACUUUCAUUUAUGCUUUUUAGAUUUAUGCAGAUUCGAAGAUAUGAAUAUUGCAUUUAUUAAAGGCGAACUCUAUAAAAUUCGUGUAGUAUACGACUCUUUCUGGUUUUUAUUUUAGUCUUGAUGGCGGUCAAAUGGACUAAUUGAUUACAUAAAAUCAUGAACACAAGGUCUAUCAGAAGAUAGAGAGGAUUUUCAAAAGGGGAAAUUCAGAGGCUUGAAUUUUUCUAAAUUCUUCAACUUUUUUUUAGAGUUUGUUUGUGAUGAUUAAUGUGCCACCACAUAAAUCUUGUAAAUAUUAAUAAGCUAUGGCAAUAAACGUAAUGUUGAAACAAAAAUGCUUAAUCUUAAGUUGAAUGAUUCAUCUAAAUUUGAAUCUGCUGUGAAGUAAAUUAAGUAUUCAAUCAUAAAAUAUCAAAUCUGAAGACAUGAAUUUUUUAAUGGAGUUUUGAUCCAUAAUAAUCCAAUUCACAAAGUUAUAAAAAGACCAUUAACUCAAGUCUUUGUAACUGUGGUUCGUUGUUAAUGGAUUGAACCUUUUUGUCAAGUAAAAAAUUAAAAAGGAUGCAAGCACUAAAGAAGAAAAUAACGUUACAAAUUGAAGCAGAAUUUUAUAACAAAUCAUGACAGCGAUUGGAUAUGAAUUCCAGAUAAGCGUCAUUGUCGCAUGGUUGUGAUCAAAUCAUUGUACAAUAGCUGUUCUUAUGCCGCGUAAUUAUAUUUUGAAAUUCAAGCCUGUUUUUCAAUUUAUUCAUAAAACUUGAAAAUAUCAAUUAUCAUGUGUCUAAUACUUUUUAUUAUCCUUAAACUAAUGAAAAAUACGCCAAUUUUUA